UGCCAGCAGCCGCGGUAAUACGAAGGGUGCAAGCGUUAUUCGGAAUUAUUGGGCGUAAAGGGCGCGCAGGCGGUCUUGUCCGUCAGGUGUGAAAGCUCGGGGCUCAACCCCGGAAGUGCAUUGGAAACUGGCGAACUUGAGUACGGGAGAGGAGAGCGGAAUUCCUGGUGUAGAGGUGAAAUUCGUAGAUAUCAGGAGGAACACCGGCGGCGAAGGCGGCUCUCUGGACAGUAACUGACGCUGAGGCGCGAAAGCGUGGGUAGCAAACAGGAUUAGAUA
rnacentral:rRNA from 1 species